rnacentral:misc_RNA from 1 species
CCGAAGUACAGGCCCUCUCGUAGGGCUAAACUUCCACCCUUUGUUAACUACACUUUGUUGCUUUGGCGAGACGCCCUCGGGCCACCGGCUUCGGCUGGUGCGCGCUCGCCAGAGAAAACCCAAACCCAAACCAUUUAUAGUGUUGUCUGAAAACCAAGUUUAAUUAUUA